GCUGAAACACCGGUUCUCGUUCGAUCACCGAAGUUAAGCAUCGUAGAGCCAGGUCAGUACUUAGAUGGGGGACCGCUUGGGAACACCUGGUACUGUAAG